rnacentral:hammerhead_ribozyme from 1 species
GCACUGCUGAAGAGUCCCAAACAGAACGAAGCAGCUGUCCAGUGC